rnacentral:rRNA from 1 species
GACAGAGGCCUCGAGCGUUAGGCGGAAUCACUGGGCUUAAAGCGUGUGUAGGCGGGCCCGUAAGUGUCUUGUGAAAUCCCACGGCUCAACCGUGGAACUGCUGGGCAUACUGCGGGUCUUGGGCCAACUAGGGGCAGCCGGAACAAGCGGUGGAGCGGUGAAAUGCGUAGAUAUCGGCAGGAACACCCAGGGGGAAACCAGUCGACUGGGCAUCUACUGACGCUGAGGUGCGAGAGCGUGGGGAGCGAACCGG